rnacentral:rRNA from 1 species
GUGAGGAAUAUUGCGCAAUGGACGAAAGUCUGACGCAGCCAUGCCGCGUGAAGGAUUGACGGCCCUAUGGGUUGUAAACUUCUUUUGUAUAGGAAUAAACCCUCGUUCGUGAACGAGGCUGAAGGUACUAUAAGAAUAAGCACCGGCUAACUCCGUGCCAGCAGCCGCGGUAAUACGGAGGGUGCAAGCGUUAUCCGGAUUUAUUGGGUUUAAAGGGUCCGUAGGCGGAUCGUUAAGUCAGUGGUGAAAUCCUACCGCUCAACGGUAGAACUGCCAUUGAUACUGGCGAUCUUGAGUAUGUAUGAAGUUGGCGGAAUGUGUGGUGUAGCGGUGAAAUGCUUAGAUAUCACACAGAACACCGAUUGCGAAGGCAGCUGACUAAUACACAACUGACGCUGAGGGACGAAAGUGUGGGGAUCAAACAGGAUUAGAUACCCUGGUAGUCC